rnacentral:rRNA from 1 species
UGAGGAAUAUUGCGCAAUGGACGAAAGUCUGACGCAGCAACGCCGCGUGAGUGACGAAGGCCUUCGGGUUGUAAAGCUCUGUCGGGUGGAACGAACGGCAUAUGUGUGAAUAAUGCAUGUGAAUGACGGUACCACUAGAGGAAGCACCGGCUAACUCCGUGCCAGCAGCCGCGGUAAUACGGAGGGUGCAAGCGUUGCUCGGAAUUAUUGGGCGUAAAGCGCACGCAGGCGGCAAGGUAAGUCAGAUGUGAAACCCCCGGGCUUAACCUGGGAACUGCAUUUGAUACUGCCUGGCUUGAGUACGGAAGAGGGGGGCGGAAUUCCCAGUGUAGAGGUGAAAUUCGUAGAUAUUGGGAGGAACACCGGUGGCGAAAGCGGCUCCCUGGUCCGAUACUGACGC